GGUAAUGUUUGAUGUUGGGACGGUUCAAUCAAAUCAAAUCUCCAAAUCACUCGGUCCUUUGCUCUGAUUGAGUCGUGCCAAUAUCCUACUAAACAUA
rnacentral:pre_miRNA from 2 species